rnacentral:rRNA from 1 species
UUAAAUUGAAGAGUUUGAUCAUGGCUCAGAUUGAACGCUGGCGGCAGGCCUAACACAUGCAAGUCGAACGGUAACAGGAAGCAGCUUGCUGCUUCGCUGACGAGUGGCGGACGGGUGAGUAAUGUCUGGGAAACUGCCUGAUGGAGGGGGAUAACUACUGGAAACGGUGGCUAAUACCGCAUAACGUCGCAAGACCAAAGAGGGGGACCUUCGGGCCUCUUGCCAUCAGAUGUGCCCAGAUGGGAUUAGCUUGUUGGUGAGGUAACGGCUCACCAAGGCGACGAUCCCUAGCUGGUCUGAGAGGAUGACCAGCCACACUGGAACUGAGACACGGUCCAGACUCCUACGGGAGGCAGCAGUGGGGAAUAUUGCACAAUGGGCGCAAGCCUGAUGCAGCCAUGCCGCGUGUAUGAAGAAGGCCUUCGGGUUGUAAAGUACUUUCAGCGGGGAGGAAGGUGUUGUGGUUAAUAACCGCAGCAAUUGACGUUACCCGCAGAAGAAGCACCGGCUAACUCCGUGCCAGCAGCCGCGGUAAUACGGAGGGUGCAAGCGUUAAUCGGAAUUACUGGGCGUAAAGCGCACGCAGGCGGUCUGUCAAGUCGGAUGUGAAAUCCCCGGGCUCAACCUGGGAACUGCAUUCGAAACUGGCAGGCUUGAGUCUUGUAGAGGGGGGUAGAAUUCCAGGUGUAGCGGUGAAAUGCGUAGAGAUCUGGAGGAAUACCGGUGGCGAAGGCGGCCCCCUGGACAAAGACUGACGCUCAGGUGCGAAAGCGUGGGGAGCAAACAGGAUUAGAUACCCUGGUAGUCCACGCCGUAAACGAUGUCUACUUGGAGGUUGUGCCCUUGAGGCGUGGCUUCCGGAGCUAACGCGUUAAGUAGACCGCCUGGGGAGUACGGCCGCAAGGUUAAAACUCAAAUGAAUUGACGGGGGCCCGCACAAGCGGUGGAGCAUGUGGUUUAAUUCGAUGCAACGCGAAGAACCUUACCUGGUCUUGACAUCCACAGAAGAAUCCAGAGAUGGAUUUGUGCCUUCGGGAACUGUGAGACAGGUGCUGCAUGGCUGUCGUCAGCUCGUGUUGUGAAAUGUUGGGUUAAGUCCCGCAACGAGCGCAACCCUUAUCCUUUGUUGCCAGCGGUUAGGCCGGGAACUCAAAGGAGACUGCCAGUGAUAAACUGGAGGAAGGUGGGGAUGACGUCAAGUCAUCAUGGCCCUUACGACCAGGGCUACACACGUGCUACAAUGGCGCAUACAAAGAGAAGCGACCUCGCGAGAGCAAGCGGACCUCAUAAAGUGCGUCGUAGUCCGGAUUGGAGUCUGCAACUCGACUCCAUGAAGUCGGAAUCGCUAGUAAUCGUGGAUCAGAAUGCCACGGUGAAUACGUUCCCGGGCCUUGUACACACCGCCCGUCACACCAUGGGAGUGGGUUGCAAAAGAAGUAGGUAGCUUAACCUUCGGGAGGGCGCUUACCACUUUGUGAUUCAUGACUGGGGUGAAGUCGUAACAAGGUAACCGUAGGGGAACCUGCGGUUGGAUCACCUCCUUACCUUAAAGAAG